rnacentral:rRNA from 1 species
UACGUAGGUGGCAAGCGUUGUCCGGAUUUACUGGGCGUAAAGGGCGUGCAGGCGGUUUGUUAAGUGCAGGGUGAAAGCUCGCGGCUCAACUGGGAGAGGUCCUUGCAUACUGGCAAACUCGAGGGAGGCAGAGGAAAGUGGAAUUCCCGGUGUAGUGGUGAAAUGCGUAGAUAUCUGGAGGAACACCGGUGGCGAAGGCGGCAUCCUGGACCGAGAUUGACGCUGAGGCGCGAAAGCUAGGGGAGCAAACGGG